rnacentral:rRNA from 1 species
GAUGAACGCUGGCGGCGUGCCUAAUACAUGCAAGUCGAACGAACAGACGAGGAGCUUGCUCCUCUGACGUUAGCGGCGGACGGGGGAGUAACACGGGGAUAAACUCCUUAUAAGACUGGGAUAACUACGGGAAACGGGAUCUAAUACCGGAUAAAAUACUGAACCGCAUGGUUCAAUAGUGAAAGACGGUUGUGCUGGCUCUAAUAGAGGGAUCCGCGCCGCAUUGGGUAGUUGGUAAGGUAACGGCUUAUCACGGCAAGGAUGCGUAGCCGACCUGAGAGCGGGGUAGGCCACCCGGGAGGGGAGCAACGGUCCCGACUCCUAAGGGAGGCCACAGUCGAGAAUCUUCCGCAAUGGGGGAAAGCCUGACGUAGCAACGCGGCGUGAGUGAUGAAGCUCCUGCGCUCGUAAAACUAUGUUAUUAGGGAAAAACAAAUGUGUAAGUCACUAUGCACGUAUUGACGGUACCUAAUCAGAAAGCCACGGCUAACUACGUG